UCGAAAUUUUAAAGGUUCUUCUGUUGAUAAUACUCUCUCUAUGUCAAAUUUUAAUUUUAUAUUCUCUAAUUUAAUUUUUUUGUUAACUUUAAACCGGAAUGUUCUUAUUAAUGUUGCUAAAAUAACUUUGGUACUUAUCAUUGCAUAUUUCAUUCCUGCAAAUUUGUGAAUUCAUAUAUAUAACAAUUUGACUAUAUUUUAUAAUUUGUUUAUCCUUACAGCACUUACACAGCACAAAGCUCCGAUUAAGCUCCUAGGAAGUUUAUUUCGCUGAGCUGCCGAGAAGCUUACAAAAUUCGAUAAAGCCAGCUUCCAGCAAGUUAGUACUGGUACCACUCACUGCCGCGACGUGGCGAGAGGCACUUUAGUCUUUCUCAAACUGACAUUUGGCAGUCAAAGGGCACGCAACGGCGUCGGAUUACCGAUACGUCGUACCUGAAGCUGAGCGUAGGGGGUGAUAGACGGUGCCUCGCGAAAAUCGGCCGAAAUGAGCAGUUCGUGGACAGCUCUGACCUAGCUCAAACGAUUGCUCCCGAAGUGCUCCAUCCACAAUUGCUCCACUUUUAAAAUCAAUAGUUUUUGAAAUAUUAACAAAAAAUUUUUAAUUUUCAAUAAAAAACAUAUUUC